AUUGAACGCUGGCGGAAUGCUUUACACAUGCAAGUCGAACGGCAGCACGGACUUCGGUCUGGUGGCGAGUGGCGAACGGGUGAGUAAUGUAUCGGAACGUGCCCAGUCGUGGGGGAUAACGUAGUGAAAAUUACGCUAAUACCGCAUACGAUCUAUGGAUGAAAGCGGGGGAUCGCAAGACCUCGCGCGAUUGGAGCGGCCGAUAUCAGAUUAGGUAGUUGGUGGGGUAAAGGACCACCAAGCCAACGAUCUGUAGCUGGUCUGAGAGGACGACCAGCCACACUGGAACUGAGACACGGUCCAGACUCCUACGGGAGGCAGCAGUGGGGAAUUUUGGACAAUGGGCGAAAGCCUGAUCCAGCCAUUCCGCGUGCAGGAUGAAGGCCCUCGGGUUGUAAACUGCUUUUGUACAGAACGAAAAGGUUUCUACUAAUACUAGGAGCUCAUGACGGUACUGUAAGAAUAAGCACCAGCUAACUACGUGCCAGCAGCCGCAGUAA
rnacentral:rRNA from 1 species